GACGAACGCUGGCGGCGUGCUUAACACAUGCAAGUCGAACGGAAAGGCCCUGCUUUUGUGGGGUGCUCGAGUGGCGAACGGGUGAGUAACACGUGAGUAACCUGCCCUUGACUUUGGGAUAACUUCAGGAAACUGGGGCUAAUACCGGAUAGGAGCUCCUGCUGCAUGGUGGGGGUUGGAAAGUUUCGGCGGUUGGGGAUGGACUCGCGGCUUAUCAGCUUGUUGGUGGGGUAGUGGCUUACCAAGGCUUUGACGGGUAGCCGGCCUGAGAGGGUGACCGGCCACAUAGGGAUUAUGGAGGGACCGAGAGUGCUGUGUGAGGCAGGAGUGGAGGACAAUGUAGUACGGACAGAUGACUGAUGCAGUAACGACAAGAUGGGGAUGGCGGGCCUAGGGCAAUAAAGGGAUCUCGACCAGGAUGAAGCGUGCGUGACGAAAAUGAGUUGAGGCACUCGGGCAAGCACCGUG
rnacentral:rRNA from 1 species